UACGUUCCCGGGCCUUGUACACACCGCCCGUCACACCACGAAAGCCGGUAACACCCGAAGCCGGUGGCCUAACCCGCAAGGGAGGGAGCCGUCGAAGGUGGGAUUGGUGAUUGGGGUG
rnacentral:rRNA from 1 species